AUAGGCCUUUCGACUGUUCACCAGUCUUCUUCAGUGGUUUAUUAAUUAAUUAAUAAACCACUGAAGAAGACUGGUGAACAGUCGAAAGGCCUAUGGUA
rnacentral:pre_miRNA from 1 species